rnacentral:rRNA from 1 species
CCUACGGGCGGCAGCAGUAGGGAAUUUUCGUCAAUGGGCGCAAGCCUGAACGAGCGAUGCCGCGUGAGUGAAGAAGGCCUUCGGGUCGUAAAGCUCUGUUGCGGGGGAAAAAAGGCAGCAUCAGGAAAUGGGUGCUGACUGAUGGUGCCCCGCCAGAAAGUCACGGCUAACUACGUGCCAGCAGCCGCGGUAAUACGUAGGUGGCGAGCGUUAUCCGGAAUGAUUGGGCGUAAAGGGUGCGCAGGCGGUCCUGGAAGUCUGGAGUGAAACGGAUGAGCUCAACUCAUGCAUGGCUUUGGAAACUGGAGGACUGGAGAGCAGGAGAGGGCGGUGGAACUCCAUGUGUAGCGGUGAAAUGCGUAGAUAUCUGGAAGAACACCAGUGGCGAAGGCGGCCGCCUGGCCUGUUGCUGACGCUGAGGCACGAAAGCGUGGGGAGCAAAUAGGAUUAGAUACCCCAGUAGUC